UUCCCUCAGUAACGGCGAAGUGAAGCGGUAACAGCUUCAAAUUUGAAAUCUGGCUCUUUUAGGGUCCGAGUUGUAAUUUGUAGAAGAGGCUUUGGGCGUGGCUCCGGUCUAAGUUCCUUGGAACAGGACGUCAUAGAGGGUGAGAAUCCCGUAUGUGACUGGUAGCUUUCGCCCGUGUAAAGCUCUUUCGACGAGUCGAGUUGUUUGGGAAUGCAGCUCAAAAUGGGUGGUAAAUUUCAUCUAAAGCUAAAUAUUGGCCAGAGACCGAUAGCGCACAAGUAGAGUGAUCGAAAGAUGAAAAGCACUUUGGAAAGAGAGUUAAACAGUACGUGAAAUUGUUGAAAGGGAAGCGCUUGCAACCAGACUCGCAGGCCGUCGAUCAUCCGGGGUUCUCCCCGGUGCACUCGGCGGUUUUCGGGCCAGCAUCGGUUUGGGUGGUGGGAUAAAGGCCUUGGGAAUGUAGCUUCUUUCGGGGAGUGUUAUAGCCCUCGGUGCAAUGCCGCCUACCCGGACCGAGGACCGCGCUUCGGCUAGGAUGCUGGCGUAAUGGUUGUAAGCGACCCGUCUUGAAACACGGACCAAGGAGUCUAACAUCUAUGCGAGUAUUUGGGUGUUAAACCCAUAUGCGUAAUGAAAGUGAACGGAGGUGAGAACCCUUAAGGGUGCAUCAUCGACCGAUCCUGAUGUCUUCGGAUGGAUUUGAGUAAGAGCAUAGCUGUUGGGACCCGAAAGAUGGUGAACUAUGCCUAAAUAGGGUGAAGCCAGAGGAAACUCUGGUGGAGGCUCGCAGCGGUUCUGACGUGCAAAUCGAUCGUCAAAUUUGGGUAUAGGGGCGAAAGACUAAUCGAACCAUCUAGUAGCUGGGUUCCUGCCGA
rnacentral:rRNA from 1 species